rnacentral:tRNA from 1 species
GCCGGGGUGGCGGAAUUGGCAGACGCAAGGGACUUAAAAUCCCUCGAAUCGAAAGAUUCGUACCGGUUCGACUCCGGUCCUCGGCA